rnacentral:rRNA from 1 species
AUUGAACGCUGGCGGCAGGCCUAACACAUGCCAGUCGAACGGUAACAGGAAGAAGCUUGCUUCUUUGCUGACGAGUGGCGGACGGGUGAGUAAUGUCUGGGAAACUGCCUGAUGGAGGGGGAUAACUACUGGAAACGGUAGCUAAUACCGCAUAACGUCGCAAGACCAAAGAGGGGGACCUUCGGGCCUCUUGCCAUCGGAUGUGCCCAGAUGGGAUUAGCUAGUAGGUGGGGUAACGGCUCACCUAGUCGACGAUCCCUAGCUGGUCUGAGAGGAUGACCAGCCACACUGGAACUGAGACACGGUCCAGACUCCUACGGGAGGCAGCAGUGGGGAAUAUUGCACAAUGGGCGCAAGCCUGAUGCAGCCAUGCCGCGUGUAUGAAGAAGGCCUUCGGGUUGUAAAGUACUUUCAGCGGGGAGGAAGGGAGUAAAGUUAAUACCUUUGCUCAUUGACGUUACCCGCAGAAGAAGCACCGGCUAACUCCGUG